GACAGAGGUGCCGAGCGUUAGGCGGAAUCACUGGGCUUAAAGCGUGUGUAGGCGGACCGUUAAGUACCUUGUGAAAUCCCCCGGCUCAACCGGGGAACGGCUGGGUAUACUGGCGGUCUGAGCCAUCCAGGGGCAGUCGGAACAGACGGUGGAGCGGUGAAAUGCGUAGAUAUCGUCUGGAACGCCGAAGGUGAAAACAGACUGCUGGGGAUGAGCUGACGCUGAGACACGAAAGCCAGGGGAGGCGAACGGG
rnacentral:rRNA from 1 species